CCUAGGGUGGCAGCAGUGGGGAAUAUUGCACAAUGGGCGAAAGCCUGAUGCAGCUAUACCGCGUGUAUGAAGAAGGCCUUAGGGUUGUAAAGUACUUUCGUCGGGGAAGAAAAAUUAACAGAUAAUACCUGUUUUUCUUGACGUUACCCGAAGAAGAAGCACCGGCUAACUCCGUGCCAGCAGCCGCGGUAAUACGGAGGGUGCAAGCGUUAAUCAGAAUUACUGGGCGUAAAGAGCUCGUAGGCGGUUUUUUAAGUCAGAUGUGAAAUCCCUGGGCUUAACCUAGGAACUGUGUUUGAAACUAAAAAGCUAGAGUCUCGUAGAGGGAGGUAGAAUUCUAGGUGUAGCGGUGAAAUGCGUAGAUAUCUGGAGGAAUACCUGUGGCGAAAGCGGCCUCCUAGACGAAUACUGACGCUGAGGUGCGAAAGCAUGGGGAGCAAACAGGAUUAGAUACCCUAGUAGUC
rnacentral:rRNA from 2 species